rnacentral:rRNA from 1 species
GAUCAGCUCAGGAUGAACGCUAGCUACAGGCUUAACACAUGCAAGUCGAGGGGCAGCAUGGUCUUAGCUUGCUAAGGCCGAUGGCGACCGGCGCACGGGUGAGUAACGCGUAUCCAACCUGCCUUACACUCUUGGACAGCCUUCUGAAAGGGAGAUUAAUACAAGAUGUUAUCAUGAGUAAGCAUUUUCGCAUGAUUAAAGGUUUACCGGUGUAAGAUGGGGAUGCGUUCCA